GUAAAUCAGAACUUUUAAAAAUCACAUUCAUAUGAAUCUUUUUGUCUCUAACCUACAACUGGGUUAUAUAGGUCACAUGGUAUACAUUGGCUGCCAGUGUAUAAAGAGCAAACUAGCACAGGCAGGUUUGAUGCAUGUAGUCAAUUGGAAAUUGCUUUAUCCACUGGAAGCCUCAAUGGUGCAAAGUGAGGUUAUCCACCACUAGAUGGGUGACAGGUGAAUGAUGCACAAUAAUGUUUCCCCUGUAUUCAGCAGUUGGGGUUGGUGUCCUGAGGAACACAUCUGGAAUACAACAGUCAGUUUUUUAUUUUAUUGUUCCUGUUGAAAUAAAACCUCCCUCCCAUUUGUUCUUGUUUUAAUAAAACUGUUAAACUCUGUAGUGAAAUUGUAGUGUUGUUUUGUUCAGUCUUGCCAAAUAGAUUUCGGCCCAACAAUGUAUGUAAUUGUAUACCAUAAAAAAUGAAAAAUCUUUCAAAUAAACCAUGAAAAAUCUUUAAAAGUUAUAUAAUUUCUAUAUUAUAAUUUAUAAUAUAGAUAUAACAUACCUGAUUCAAGUCAUCGGUUGAGUAGUAAAUUACUUAAAGACCUGAAACAUUCCAGGAAGAUGGUAAGGAAACCCUAUAAAUAUUCAAUAUGAGCGCCCUCUACUGCCUGUUAAUUAUGGUAAGUGAUAUUAAAAUAAUAACCUGCAG